GACGAACGCUGGCGGCGUGCUUAACACAUGCAAGUCGAGCGGAAAGGCCACUUCGGUGGUACUCGAGCGGCGAACGGGUGAGUAACACGUGAGUAAUCUGCCCUUGGCUUUGGGAUAGCCACCGGAAACGGUGAUUAAUACCGGAUAUGACCGCUCCACGCAUGUGGUGGUGGUGGAAAGUUUUUCGGCCAGGGAUGUGCUCGCGGCCUAUCAGCUUGAUGGUGAGGUAAUGGCUCACCAUGGCUUCGACGGGUAGCCGGCCUGAGAGGGUGACCGGUCACACUGGGACUGAGAAACGGCCCAGACUCCUACGGGAGGCAGCAGUGGGGAAUAUUGGACAAUGGGCGGAAGCCUGAUCCAGCAACGCCGCGUGAGGGAUGACGGCCUUCGGGUUGUAAACCUCUUUCAGCAGGGACGAAGCGCAAGUGACGGUACCUGCAAAAGAAGCACCGGCCAACUACGUGCCAGCAGCCGCCGUAACAC
rnacentral:rRNA from 1 species